CUUGCCUUAAACUAUGUAUACUUGGUGUAGUUAGGCUCAACCCUGACUGUACCGUAGCGAACGCGUUAAGUAUACCGCCUGGGGAGUACGCUCGCAAGGGUAAAACUCAAAAGAAUUGACGGGGACCCGCACAAGCAGUGGAGCAUGUGGUUUAAUUCGAUGCAACGCGAAGAACCUUACCUGGACUUGACAUGCUUUUGACCGCUGUAGAAAUACAGUUUUCUCGCAAGAGACAGAAGCACAGGUGC
rnacentral:rRNA from 1 species